UUGUUUUUGGUCUCAUUGUAAUAACAAAUAUUCUGUACGUGUUACACUGUAAUUUAUAGGUUAUAUUUUCAUCAAACUGAAAUAUUCGCCAUCUUACUACGUCGACCAAACACAACGAAGAAUGCUGUUUGAAGAAAAAUCUCAAAGCUAAUUGGUUGCGUUAGGUGUCUGGUAGGUGCUGCCACCUUUAUCGAAAGCAAACAUUCUUGUCACAGUGAGAAGUUAACUAUUGCGUUGUUGUAUACAUUUUUUCUUUGAGUUAUUUUUAUGUGAAAAUGAUGAAUUCAGUUGUACUCGAAUUUAUUUUUUUUUAUGUCCAGACCCCGUUAUUGUGGAGUAACGAAGCUAAUGUGUCACGCAUCAAAUUCACGAAUAAUUUAACCUACUAUGAAAAUGAAGAAAGAAUGAAAGUUGGAGAUGGUUGACCUAGGACCUUUCAUUUAUGUAAAAAAAGGAUGUUUUAAUCUUAAAACAUAGGACCAGUCAAUGUCUCUCAUGAUUGCUAAUUGAACAAGAAUUUGCAAAGGAUAUUGUAACAAAAGCCAAGUGAUUUAAAUUUAAAUGAUUGUCAUUAUCAAAAUUGAUAUCAAUUGGAAUGUUUGUUAUUAAAUAAUCGAUAAUAGAUUAGUGAUCAGCUAUAAUUAAGGAAGUAUUAAUGCAGAAAUCGAGACAUUGUGAUCAAAUCAAAGAAAAAAGAACGAAGAGAAAUUGAAUCCAUCGACGACGAAGGCGACGACGACGACGACGA